GCGAAAGGUCCUCGAGCUCCCAGUGCUCACUCUCAUCUUACCUUGCACCACCUUCAACAUAAACUUACUCCACUAGUAUAUAAGCUUGCCUGAUCUUCCCAAGUGAAUAUACCUCUGUCCUAUACCAUACGCCAACAGACAAGUGUCAAGAGGUAUAUCAUACAUAUAUCUCAUUGCUUAGUUAAACUACGGCUUUCUAUCUCGUCUCCAAGGCCGGACCUUGUUGGGGACGAGUCGUAACAGAAUGGCUGUACCUUGGAUAUAGCUUUUGGAACGAUAUAAUAGGGAUGCGAAGGCCUCGUGGACAAUUAUGAGAGGGGUCACCAAAGGUUUGGUAUAAUGUGGAUAUGCAGGAACCAGAGCACUGUCAUGCCACGGACGGUAGUGUUUUCGUGGAGAUACCUCUCUGGACUCAGAAGGCGUGCCGACGAGACAUUACCAUCAAAAGGCAACAUUUGAGAACCAGGAAUUGACGAAAAUAAAGUAUGUUCAGGCAUUUAAACAAGAGGGACGGAGACUGAUUGCUGAAUGGUUACGGAUAAUUAUGAGGCUGCUACGUAAAGAGCUUCCGUUCCAACCCUUAAUCCCAACAAAUCCAGCGAAUUCACCGACCAUGGUGGGACCUCUCUGUCUCCUUCCUACCUUCAUUCCUCAGUAUCCUUGCACUUAUGUAACAUCAGUAAUAAAUACUACACAUCGGUAGUAAGACUAAACACCCAUAGCUAAAUAAACUGAUUUACUUUAUAGUUUUUUAAAUUGUCAACUGUCAUCAAACAUCUUCGAUAGUACAGGGGUUAGUAUAUCCGCUUUUCAGGAACUCAACUUCCAAUGUGGCGCGGACGACCCGGGUUCGAAUCCCGGUCGGAGAAGAUCUUUUUGUUUCUGGAUUUUUGGGAGCGCCGAUGUUCCAUUCCGUGAAGGGAAAUUUCUUUUUGUCGUCGUCUUUUCAGUAGAUGCAUGGAAAUUUAUGAUUUG
rnacentral:tRNA from 1 species